AAAACACAUACCAAUUCAAAGUGAAUUAGAAAUUGCAGUUACCAAAUUAUCUUUGUAAUUUCUGAGCCAAAAUAUUUCCAUAAUUUCCUUUCCUCCAGAAAAGAAUUUUCCAGAUAUCUGGAAAUUGACAAAAAAGAGGUUAUAUGAUUCAUGUUGGAGAAGAACUGAAGUCUAUGUAUUCGAGCUCAGUGUCGGAUUACCUCUGGCAGCAGGGCUGGGGCAUUGGCUGUUCAAACCCUUGUCCUCAGUGCCUGCAGCUUAAAGCCCUGCAAAAUGUAAGGUCAGCUCUGGCUGUCACUUGAGGUACAAAGAAGCCAAGCAGUGGAGCAAUUUGGAGAACAGAAGGAAUAGAUGUUGCUUAUAUGGUAGGCCUUAACAGAGUGCUCUGACUUUUUAAAAGAUGGAUCCUUUUAAUGGGCAACAAUGAAAAUACAGGCUGCCUGUGAAAGCAGCAGGAAGAAAAUGUUUGAAAAGCUGCCGCUUGUGCAACAGAGCCCUUGGAAUAGCAUCUGUCCAACUACUGGUGGUUAGAUUUGUAUUACCUGAUGUAAUUAAAAUGGAAGGAUCUUUUAGGGCUUCUUGCUGAAGACAUGAGCCACAGAGGCAGCCCCACGAGGGCAGGAAGCUGCGGCACAGAAUUCUCAUUGGGAAUAUUGGAUCCACCAUGCAGAUCAGAGAGAACAAUUUUGCCUGUAGUAUGGAGUUCUUAUGGUUUUACCAUUCUUGCUCUAGGAAUCACAGAAUCACAGAAGAAUCACAGAAUCACUAAGGUUGGAAAAGACCUAUAAGAUCAUCCAGUCCAACCAUCCACCUGUCACCAAUGGUUCUCAUUAAACCAUAUCCCUCAACACAACAUCCAAACGUUCUUUGAACACCUCCAGGGUCGGUGACUCCACCACCUCCCUGGGCAGCCCAUUCCAGUGCCUGACCACCCUUUCAGAGAAGUAGUAUUUCCUAAUAUCCAGCCUGAAUCUUCCCUGGCGAAGCUUGAAACCGGAAAAGGGGUAAGGGAGGAAGGAGUUAUUG
rnacentral:lncRNA from 1 species